rnacentral:lncRNA from 1 species
UUUUCUUUCAUACAGAUUGGCUGGGAAUAUGCUGCCUAAGAGAUAGUUGGUCCACAAAGGAGGGUAGCAGUUUUAAAUUUCUAUGAAAUAAUUUGAGGGAACUCUCAUUAAUAGUAAAACCAUUUUAAUAAAGCACACUACAAUUAUAUUUAUAUCAUCUAUGAAUCUAAAUUACAGUUAAAAUAACAUUUGAUCGUGAUUGCUUAGGACUUAAUAUAUGACUCACUAAUAUCUGACAUCACUGAAAUAGAUGGGUUUUUUUCUGUUUUAUUGCAGUUUACUUAAUCAAGUUUUAAAACAUUGUAAGGGUUUGUCUCUUUAAGAAUACUACCUUAAUUUGAAUUUUAAGAGCUUCCAAGUAGUUGUUCCUUUCUUUAAACUAUUCUGUCUUAGUUUGCUAACAGACCUAUUGAAAGACAUUGACAUAAUUCUUAUUCUCUUUAGCUAUUAUGGCAUACAUAAAAAUUGAAUAGUCACUGAAGUACUUUUUAUAUAACGCUGACCAAGACUAACACUGAAACUCAGUCUCUGGGGAAGAACUCUUGUGACAACUAUGAUCUCAUCCCUCAUUUUGGAAACACAAAAAGUUCCAAGCAGCUAUUAGUGAUGCUGUUAAUCAGUUAGUGAUUGACAGACUUUAGCUACUGUUAGAAGCUGACUCCCCCAUUUCUACCUUCACCAUUGAGUUUAAUAUGGGUUAAAUAAUAACAGGCCCUCCAUUCUCCCAAGUCAGUUCCAGACUUGUUUCCAAAGUCUUGGUACUUGCACUUGUAUUUCUGGUUUGUUUUGUUUUGCUUUGCUUUGCUUUUAAGCCAACAGACUACAAAGACCUCCUGAGAACCAGGUCAACUUGACUUGAAAAAUGAGGCUUUCUGAAACUGGCUGACUACACUGGCAUUUAAAACUUGUAAUAAUAUGUUUAUGCUAAAUACUAAUGGCAAAAGUUCUGCUUCUGUUAAGCUUUGCUUGCUUACAAAAGGCAUGAAGAACCUAUAUAAGAAUUCCUCUGCUACAGCGUAAAUGCCACCCCAUUGUCCUACUAAGGGGGACUAUAAGCUAGGCACAAUUUUAUUUUAAAAAUAAAAAUUUGCCCUGCAUUAUCUCAGUUUUAGCUCCUGGAUUUUUGACACAGUAACACUGGGAAGUACUCUUCAAUAAUAGUGGGUAAAUCAAUUGUAGGGUGACAUUUGCGCAGCAGAGUUUCAGCAUAUACUGAUGGCAAAAAUCCCCACUUUUCCAUUUUGUCAUAGUAUGCCUUUCUUCUUGACAAUGUAACUUAGUAAAUUGUGAUAUUACACUCG